CCGGUGUUACCGCUUUGGGACAGUCACAUGGGGGCCCUGUGUAUUUCUGCUGAGUGUACCCCUGGCCCUGUCAGAUUUCUGUCACUGCGGAAAGGGACAUGGCUCCUAGUGUGACAAAUGACGAAUGCAGCAGCCGGUGGGUGUGGGCUAUUUUCUCAGAAAAGAGCCUGACAAACAAGCAGGGAGGAAUGUGUGCCCUGUUCUGUGGGAGGGAUCAGGUGUCGCUGGCUGUGAAGGGCUGGUAUAAAGGACAGGGCUGCUAUUCCCCAGUCAGAACAGCUAUCAGCGGACUCUGAAGCAUCAACUACCAAGAGAGAGGCUCAGCCUCCAAAGUUAUUGGCUUGUUAAAGCCUAUAGGGAAGGAAGAAAAGUUGUCAACGACCCACUGCGAAGUUUGAGAAGGCAAACAUUUUCAAGCUCAACAUUAAGGAGAAGCCUAUUCCAACAUGGACAUCCAGAGGACCGGCUCGUUGGUGCGUCCACCAAGCCCCAUGGAGAGCCUGGAGAAGCAGCUGAGCUGCCCCAUCUGCCUGGAGAUGUUCACUAAGCCCGUGGUCAUCCUGCCCUGCCAGCACAACCUGUGCCGUGGCUGUGCCAGCGACCUCUAUGACUCACGCAACCCCUACCGCUUCUCGGGCGGCGUCUUCCGCUGCCCCACCUGCCGCUUCGAGGUGGUCCUGGACCGCCAUGGCGUUCACGGACUUCAGCGCAACCUGCUAGUGGAGAACAUCAUCGACAUCUACAAGCAACAGCAGGAGGGUGGCGGGGGUAGUGGCGUUGGAGGCAGCACAGAGACUCCACUGAAGCCCAAGGAUUCCAAGGAACCCAUGUGCCAGGAGCACGAGGAGGAGAAGAUCAACAUCUACUGUGUGACCUGCCAGAUGCCCACCUGCUCCAUGUGCAAGGUGUUUGGCCAGCACAAGGACUGUGAGGUGUCACCACUGGCCGGUGUCUACCAGGUGCAGAAGGGCGAGCUGAGCAACGCUAUCGACACCCUAGUGGCAGGCAACGGGCGCCUUCAGGCCCUGCUCAACCAGAUGGAGGAUACCUGUCAGGCCGUGCAGGACAACGCACAGCGUGCCAAGCAAAGCCUAGGCGAGCGCUUUGACCUGCUCUACGCAGUGCUCGAGGAGCGCAAAGGCCUGCUGCUGGAACAGAUCGGCAAGGAGCAGGAUGAGAAAGUGACUGCAUUGCGGGCGCUGGCACAGCACUACAGCGAGCGACUGCAGGCGGGAUCAGAGCUGACGGACACAGCGGUGCGGGCCCUGGAGCAGAGCGGCGCCGCAGAGUUCCUGCUGGCCUCCAAGGGCCUUAUCACACAGACCAAGGACACCGCCAAGAUCUCCCUGGGUGAGGAGAGGCCCGAGCCGGGCUUUGAGAAGAUGGACCAUUUCACGCUGUCCACGGAGCACGUGGAGGCCGUCCUGGCCAAGAUGGACUUUGGAAUGGUCGAAGACGAUGCGUUCGAGGAUGCCGAAGGGGACGAAGAAGAGGAGGAGUGAUGAAACUUGAAAAUAUACGAACUGAACAAAUGAACAAACUAUUUACUACCUUUUUGAAGGUUCUUUUAACCUGAAUGUUCCUGGCAGGGACUCUAGUUGCAAUGUUUCAGUGAUAUUAAGAGAAAUUAGGAGUAAAGCAGAAGUUGGUGGUGUCUGAAUGUUUUUAUACGUAGUUGAUUGAUUUGGUAACAUGACUUUCCCCAGUUUUGAGUUUAAUAUUUUAGUUUUUUUUGUACUCUUAACUUUGCCUUUUUGUAAACUAUAAUUGUUUUUUUAUACUUUUGUAUUUCCAUAUCAGAUUUAUUCUGAUCUAUUUGUUAUGUACUUUAGGCUGAAUAUCCUCUCAGAUUGUUUACAUUUGAAUACUUUAACACAUGUAAAGAUUGAGAUGGGGAAAUAGUUUUGAUUUGUAGUUUCUCAUCGACAUAAAGAAUGCCUAUGGUUGUAUCACAUAAAUGAUUUUGUACACUAAACUGGCAACAGAAUAUUUCAACAGAUCUGACUUCGUCACAACCUGAAAUAAAGGGUGUUUCAAAUGACUCAA